CUAUGCGCCUUGCCAGCCCGCUCAGGUGUGCCAGCCGCCGCGGUAAUACAGAGGUCUCAAGCGUUGUUCGGAAUCACUGGGCGUAAAGCGUGCGUAGGCGGUUUCGUAAGUCGUGUGUGAAAGGCGGGGCUCAACCCCCCGGACCUGCACAUGAUACUGCGAGACUAGAGUAAUGGAGGGGGAACCGGAAUUCUCGGUGUAGCAGUGAAAUGCGUAGAUAUCGAGAGGAACACUCGUGGCGAAGGCGGGUUCCUGGACAUUAACUGACGCUGAGGCACGAAGGCCAGGGGAGCGAAAGGG
rnacentral:rRNA from 1 species